AUGGAGGACAAGGACCCGUCUCUUCUUCCUACGGAUCAUUCACAGACCAUUCCUCUGCACCUCCCCGAAGAACACGAAAAAGAGAUGGAACCUUUGCUGAUGAAAGGCUGCCGGACUUCCGGUGGCGCGGGACAAGGGAAGUUGAAGCCGGCGGCGGCCUGGAGACUGGGAGAUAUCUCCGAGAUCAUUUCAGUUUGGUGCAUGAAAACAGCAAUCGCCCUCGCGUGCGUCUAUCUUGUUUUCCUUUCUUAUGUCGCGGUGACAUACACACCUAGCUGGGCGGAGAAGCUGCGGUUGUCACCACUGUUCCUUUUUGCGACAAUUGUCCUGUUGUUUGGAGCACUCAUGAUCCGAGACAAGCAAGAUGGAUGUGGGAGGAACACACAGUGUGUUCUCAUGGAAUAUCAACCUCGAUUAUAG
rnacentral:rRNA from 1 species